AAACUUCCCAGGUGGUAGGGGUAGGCAGGACUUCUCUUUUAAGUCACCACCAGUGUUCUACUUCGCCGUAUAAAAUACAAAAACAAAACAUAAAAGAAUGUCACUUCUUUCCCUAUGCUAUUAGACUCAUCAGAGUGCGGAAACAAUCAUGCACUCAAAUUUUGUGGAUCCACGAGAUCCUCAUAGACUUUCAAAGGUAGGUCAGCCUGCGGUUCCUCAUUUUCUUCCUCAUCUUGGGGGGACAUGGAAAGAGUGAGUUCCAUAUGCUCAGUAAAAAAACAGUAUUAAAUUGAUAUCAUAAGGUUUUAAAGGUGAAUUAUUUUGACUUAAAAGUUUACCAUUUAGCCACCUCGUAGACCUAUCUU
rnacentral:lncRNA from 1 species